CCUGCAGGCGGUCCUGUAAGUGGGAUGUGAAAUCUCCUGGCUUAACUGGGAGGGGCCAUUCCAUACUGCGGGACUUGAGGGCAGAAGAGGGAAGCGGAAUUCCCGGUGUAGUGGUGAAAUGCGUAGAUAUCGGGAGGAACACCAGUGGCGAAGGCGGCUUCCUGGCCUGCUCCUGACGCUAAGAGGCGAAAGCUAGGGGAGCGAACGGGAUUAGAAACCCCGGUAGUCCUAGCCAUAAACGAUGGAUACUGGGUGUCGGUGGUCCUAACCCCAUCGGUGCCGAAGCUGACGCGUUAAGUAUCCCGCCUGGGGACUACGGCCGCAAGGUUAAA
rnacentral:rRNA from 1 species